UACAGAGGUCUCAAGCGUUGUUCGGAUUCAUUGGGCGUAAAGGGUGCGUAGGUGGUGAGGAAAGUCGGAUGUGAAAUCUCCAAGCUCAACUUGGAAACUGCAUUGGAAACUACCUUGCUAGAGGGAUUUGAGGGGGGGAUUGGAAUACUUGGUGUAGCUAGUGAAAUGCGCAGAUAUCAGGAGGAACACCGAUGGCGAAGGCAGGUCUCUGGGCAUUAACUGACGCUGAGGAGCGAAAGCAUGGGGAGCGAACAGG
rnacentral:rRNA from 1 species